CCUUGUGAGCCGUGCCGGGCUGCACGUGGCCGCGCUGGGUGACCUCAGAGCUCUUUCCCGCUGACCUCAGGGACUCUCGGAGUCUUGAAAACGUCCUUCGUAGGUGUAGCGUUCAAAUUGUUGUAAACGGCGGUCUAAACGUGCGCUGACAGUGAGGAUCUGUGAUUCCUUUCGUUGGGGAACAAAGGAUUGGGAUUACGUGGAUCGGCGCUGCACGAACGCCAGCCGGAGCGGAGAAUGUCAACUGUAUGACAGAAACACGAGUCUGGGAUGGAGAAACAGUUUCUAUAUAGCCAGAACUGGCUGAGGAAUGCAUCCAGCAUGUGAUGAAGGAGUGAAUCUGGUCACACGGGGAUGAAUAUAUACAGCUUUUACACAGAGCACGUGUUUUGAAAAAUCAGUGCUGAACAGAAGCUUUCAAAUUAGGUACAAUUGGAUUUUCUACUGCUGGUCAGAUGCAGCCUAUGAGUAAGUCAAUGGGAGAGUGAGGGAGACAGCCUAUUUUCCUGCCACUAUUGACAGCACGUCAACUCAGCACCCCGAGC